GGGGGGGAUGGUGUUAUAAAGGGUUGUGAGUGUUGGAGGAGAACCUCUUUGCUUAGUUAAACAAAGGACCUCGACACAGGCCUGCAAGAUAAACACAACACUUCCAUGAGAAAACAUGUGUGCAAUUACACUGUAACUCAUCCUGGGCAAACACUGAACAAGAAUGGUGUGCAUGGCAGGGUGGAAGCCACUACUCUCUGAAAAGAACAGUGCUGCCUGACAGGGAUAACCAGAGGCAUAUUGGAAGAAUGUUCAGUGGACAUUUUUUGGUUUAAAUAAAAAGCAUUAUGUUUAGUGAAAACCAAACAUUCAUUCCAGCAUGAGAACCUCAUCCUGACUGUGAAGCAUGGUGGUGGCAGCACUAUGAUUUGAUGCUGCUUUGCUGCCUCCAGUCUAGGACAGCUUGCCAUUAUUGGUGGACCUACAGUAAGAAUUCUGGAUUGUACCAACAAAUUCUAAAGACAAUGUCAGGGUAUUUGUCUAUGAACUACAGCUUACGUGGGUCAUGCAGAAGAAAUUCAAAGUCAAAGUCCAGACCUUAACCCAAUAGAAAUGUUGUAAAAGGACCUGACAGGAGCAGUUCAUACAAGGAUGCCCACCAACAUCACUGAGUUGAAGCAGUUUUGUAGGAAGAAUGGGACAAAUUCCUCCAACACAUUGUGCAGGAUUGAUUACCAGUUACCAGAAACGCUUGCUUUAAGUUAUUGUUGCUCAAGGGGGUCACACAAGUUACUGAAAGCAAAGGUUCACGUACGUUUCCAACAAAGCUAUUCAAUGUUCCUUAAUUUUGCUCAAUAAAUAAAUAUGAAAACUAUGUUUAUGCACCAUUCAUUUAAUAGGGAACUCGUUAUAUAGUUCUAGGGCUUAGAUGAAGAUCUGAACACAUUUCAGGUCAAACUUAUGCAAAAGUACAGACAGUUGUAAACGGCUCACAAACUUUCUGCAGCACUGUAACACAGAAGUUUUUCACACAGAAUGCAGCCUAAUUACAUUUAGUCUGGCCCCGAGAAUGAGCUUGAUAAAAAUGGCACUGAAGCAAAAGAGAAUUAAAUGUGCCAAAAUGUGCAUUUCUCUUUGACUUUCUGGAACAUCUGAGACCAUUCUGAUACAUUUAGAUAGCGAUUUGUGUCAAAUAAUAGUUUUACGUUUCAUUGUAAAUAUGUAAAGUACAGUAAAUGGUCAAUAUAAAUGUCAGUAUGAAUGUAAAAUAUAAAUCUUAAAAGUAACUAUGCAUGGAGAACUUAAAUGUUUCUUUCAUAUGCCAUUUGACCCUGCCAUCUCAGAGUGUGCAUCAUGGGAAAACACAGGGCCAGUAGGGUUGCCAGGUUUACACCAUGCUGUGCCUGGCAUUGAUGGCAUUUCUGGGCUGAUUCAAAAACAGUCCACAGCCACCAAGUUCUUGUUGUAAAAAAACAUAAUCUGAAUUAAAUCAAACCUAUUUCUACAUGUAGACAGUGUAGAUCAGUGGUCACCAACCCUCUUUUUUGAGUUCUACCUUCCUGCAGGUUUCAGCUCCAGCCAAAAUCUAACACACCUGUUUUUGUUGAUCAAGAACAGCUUAAGGCUUCCAAUGAUUAGAUGGUCAGGUGGGAAGGAUUAUGGUUGGAGCUAAAGUCUUCAGGAAUGUAGAUCUCCAGGAACAGGGUUGGUGACCACUGGUGUAGACCUAUCUACAAUGCAUAGAACCAUUUCUGUUUUCUACAGAAGUGCAAGGGUCAUGAAUUAUUUAUUUCUUAUGAUCUUAUGAUAACAAAAUUUGUUUUUGUUACUUAUGUCGAAAAGCAAGACUAGGCAUAUACUGUAUGCUGUACAGCAUGGAUGAGUGCUGAGUGCAUGCUUUUUAUUUGAAUCAGUGAGUACUGUAAGAGGUGAUAACUGAUGCAGUGGUAAAGCUUUUGCUUUCAUUUUUCAAUGCCAAAAUCAUAGGAUCGAGCCUGUGCACAGGGUGAACGGGCGGAGUUUCAUUUUCACAAGUAUCCUCUUGUGAUUUCUCAAUAAAGUACAUCUGUCUAGCUAUCUAUCUAUUGAGCUGUAUGUUUGUCAGUGCUAUGAAAAAAUUCGCAACUAUACUGUUGUGGAUACUUUAGUGAUCCUGAACAGAUGGUCAUUUCUGUUUUCAGAUAUAUAGUGCAAAGACUGAUUUAAGUCACUAGUUUGGAAUUUUCCAUAGAAAACAUAAAUGGUUGUUUUACAUUGGCUGCAUUUAAAUUUUCAAAUUUGCCAUAGAAUAUGUAGUAAUUGUUUUGAUUUCAUUUGGAUUAUUUGCUUCACAACAAGACCCUCAUCCCAAAAAUGCUAUCAGCUUUUUACAGCCUCAAGCUUGUUCCAAAACUAGCACGGUAUGGUGUGAACGUGGCAACCCUACCAGCGCUGUGUUUUCCCAUGACACACACUCUGAGAGGACGGGGUCAAUUGGCACAUAAUGUUAAGUUCUACAUUUACAUUUACAUUUAAUAUUUCUGUUUAUAAUUAAUCUCUAUAUUUAACAUUUUUACUUACAGUUAUAUUUGACAUUUAUAUUUAACAUUUGCUUUUAAUAUUGAAACAUAACUAUUAUUUAACAUAUGUUGCUAGCUGAAUGUGGCCUCAAAUGUUCAAAAAUAAAAAGUCAGAGAGAAAAGACUUUUUUUACAUUUUGUGCCCCAUAUGAACACAUGACAUGAUGUCUGUGUGUGUUUCUGAACAUGCUUGCAUUUGUACGUGUGUGCGAGUGUUUUCUAAUGGCCCAGGCCCCGAACUGUAAACAGCCAGAGGAAUUCUGUACCCUGUGACCCUCAGUUCUCAGAAACAGCACUAGGGCAACGAGUUCAUUGAGACAGACACACACACACACACACACACACACACACACACACACACACACACACACACAUACA